ACGGCCGUACCAUGCUGAAUAUACCGGUUCUCGUUAGAUCACCGAAGUCAAGCAUCAUUGGGCGCAUCAGUAUUGUGAUGACCGCAACAAAAUACCGUGUGCCGUU